rnacentral:rRNA from 1 species
GGAGGGUGCAAGCGUUGUCCGGAUUUAUUGGGGUUUAAAGGGGUGCGUAGGCGGCCUAUUAAGUCAGUGGUGAAAGGUAUCAGCUUAACUGAUGACGUGCCAUUGAAACUGACAGGCUUGAGUACAGACGAGGUAGGCGGAAUUUAUGGUGUAGCGGUGAAAUGCAUAGAUACCAUAAAGAACACCAAUUGCGAAGGCAGCUUACUAGACUGAGACUGACGCUGAGGCACGAAAGCGUGGGGAGCGAACAGGAUUAGAUACCCUGGUAGUCCACGCUGUAAACGAUGAUUACUGGAUGUGUGCGAUAGACAGUACGCGUCUGAGCGAAAGCGUUAAGUAAUCCACCUGGGGAGUACGAUCGCAAAGAUUG